GGGGUAGAGACGAACUUACAUUAUGUGCAUCAUGUAGCUGUGCACACCAAUAACCAUAGUGAUUCAUUUCUACCAUGAUGCACCGAGAUGAACAUCUGAUGAAUGAAAUCUAUAAAAAUGAAUGACGGUGAUUGAUGGUAUGCAUGACCAUACGGUAUAUGCAUUGCAAGGUAUGCUUAGAGCUUAUGGCCAAGUGGGUAGGUGGAUUGAUUGGCA
rnacentral:lncRNA from 1 species